CAUGUAGCCUUGAACAUGAGCAUGAGCCAUACUAAUGUGUUCCUUCCACUCUUGUGUAUAUGACAGACUUUGGCAGAGCUCAAAGACGAAGAGAGCUCACUGCUCAAGGAAAGAAGAGAGCUAAAAAGGGAAAUGGCAGCCUUACGAAUGAAUCUGGAGAGACAAAGGGCUACACACGAGAGACUAAAGCGGAUGAAGAUUGAUCUGCAGCCAUCUCAAGAAUCAACAUCCGUAGCGGAGGAAUCAGUCUCUGGACAACAACUUCAAAUGGCAUCAACGGCUUGUGAU